AACGAACGCUGGCGGCAGGCCUAACACAUGCAAGUCGAGCGGACCCUUCGGGGUUAUCGGCGGACGGGUGAGUAACGCGUGGGAAUAUGCCCUUCUCUACGGAAUAGUCCUGGGAAACUUGGGUUAAUACCGUAUACGCCCUUUUGGGGAAAGAUUUAUCGGGGAAGGAUUAGCCCGCGUUGGAUUAGGUAGUUGUUGGGGUAAUGGCAUACCAAGCCGAGGAUCCAUAGCUGGUUUGGGAGGAUGAUCAGCCACACUGGGACUGAGAAACGGCCCAGAAUCCUACGGGAGGAAGCAGUGGGGAAGAUUAGAAAAUGGGGGCAAACCUGAUCAAGCCAUGCCGGGUGAGUGAUGAAGGCCUUAGGGUUGUAAAGCGCUUUCAGCUGGGAAGAUAAUGACGGUACCAGCAGAAGAAGCCCCGGCUAACUCCGUG
rnacentral:rRNA from 1 species